GACGAACGCUGGCGGCGUGCUUAACACAUGCAAGUCGAACGGUAAGGCUCCAGCUUGCUGGGGUACACGAGUGGCGAACGGGUGAGUAACACGUGGGUGACCUGCCCUGCACUUCGGGAUAAGCCUGGGAAACUGGGUCUAAUACCGGAUAGGACCGCACCGUGAGGGUGUGGUGGAAAGUUUUUUCGGUGUGGGAUGGGCCCGCGGCCUAUCAGCUUGUUGGUGGGGUAAUGGCCUACCAAGGCGGCGACGGGUAGCCGGCCUGAGAGGGUGGACGGCCACAUUGGGACUGAGACACGGCCCAGACUCCUACGGGAGGCAGCAGUGGGGAAUAUUGCACAAUGGGCGGAAGCCUGAUGCAGCGACGCCGCGUGGGGGAUGACGGCCUUCGGGUUGUAAACCCCUUUCACCAUCGACGAAGGGUUUCUGACGGUAGAUGGAGAAGAAGCACCGGCUAACUACGUGCCAGCAGCCGCGGUAAUACGUAGGGUGCGAGCGUUGUCCGGAAUUACUGGGCGUAAAGAGCUCGUAGGUGGUUUGUCGCGUCGUCUGUGAAAUUCCGGGGCUUAACUCCGGGCGUGCAGGCGAUACGGGCAUAACUUGAGUACUGUAGGGGAGACUGGAAUUCCUGGUGUAGCGGUGAAAUGCGCAGAUAUCAGGAGGAACACCGGUGGCGAAGGCGGGUCUCUGGGCAGUAACUGACGCUGAGGAGCGAAAGCAUGGGGAGCGAACAGGAUUAGAUACCCUGGUAGUCCAUGCCGUAAACGGUGGGCGCUAGGUGUGGGUUUCCUUCCACGGGAUCCGUGCCGUAGCUAACGCAUUAAGCGCCCCGCCUGGGGAGUACGGCCGCAAGGCUAAAACUCAAAGGAAUUGACGGGGGCCCGCACAAGCGGCGGAGCAUGUGGAUUAAUUCGAUGCAACGCGAAGAACCUUACCUGGGCUUGACAUAUACAGGAUCGCGCCAGAGAUGGUGUUUCCCUUGUGGCUUGUAUACAGGUGGUGCAUGGUUGUCGUCAGCUCGUGUCGUGAGAUGUUGGGUUAAGUCCCGCAACGAGCGCAACCCUUGUCUUAUGUUGCCAGCACGUUGUGGUGGGGACUCGUAAGAAACUGCCGGGGUUAACUCGGAGGAAGGUGGGGAUGACGUCAAAUCAUCAUGCCCCUUAUGUCCAGGGCUUCACACAUGCUACAAUGGUCGGUACAGUGGGUUGCCAGUCCGUGAGGGCGAGCUAAUCCCGCAAAGCCGGUCUCAGUUCGGAUCGGGGUCUGCAACUCGACCCCGUGAAGUCGGAGUCGCUAGUAAUCGCAGAUCAGCAACGCUGCGGUGAAUACGUUCCCGGGCCU
rnacentral:rRNA from 1 species